GAUGAACGCUGGCGGCGUGCCUAAUACAUGCAAGUCGAGCGAACGGACGAGAAGCUUGCUUCUCUGAUGUUAGCGGCGGACGGGUGAGUAACACGUGGAUAACCUACCUAUAAGACUGGGAUAACUUCGGGAAGCCGGAGCUAAUACCGGAUAAUAUUUUGAACCGCAUGGUUCAAAAGUGAAAGACGGUCUUGCUGUCACUUAUAGAUGGAUCCGCGCUGCAUUAGCUAGUUGGUAAGGUAACGGCUUACCAAGGCAACGAUGCAUAGCCGACCUGAGAGGGUGAUCGGCCACACUGGAACUGAGACACGGUCCAGACUCCUAAGGGAGGCAGCAGUAGGGAAUCUUCCGCAAUGGGCGAAAGCCUGACGGAGCAACGCCGCGUGAGUGAUGAAGGUCUUCGGAUCGUAAAACUCUGUUAUUAGGGAAGAACAUAUGUGUAAGUAACUGUGCACAUCUUGACGGUACCUAAUCAGAAAGCCACGGCUAACUACGUG
rnacentral:rRNA from 1 species